GGGUAGGUGCCCGAGAGGUUAAAGGGGAUGGACUGUAAAUCCAUUGGCUAGCGCCUACGGUGGUUCGAAACCACCCCUGCCCA
rnacentral:tRNA from 1 species